GCUGAUAUAGCUUAGAAUGGUAGAGCACAUCCUUGGUAAGGAUGAGGUCCCCAGUUCAAUUCUGGGUAUCAGCA
rnacentral:tRNA from 1 species